GCCUUCGUGGUGUAAUGGUUAGCACACUCGACUCGUAUUCGAGAGAUCCAGGUUCGAGUGCCAGCGAGGACA
rnacentral:tRNA from 1 species